GACGAACGCUGGCGGCGUGCUUAACACAUGCAAGUCGAACGGAGUUACGUAUGAAGUAUUUCGGUACGGACUAUGUAACUUAGUGGCGAACGGGUGAGUAACACGUGGGCAACCUGCCCUUAACCGGGGGAUAACAUUGUGAAAACAGUGCUAAUACCGCAUAACAGAGUAUCGGGCAUCCGAUAUUUUUAAAAGGAGCAAUCCGGUUUAGGAUGGGCCCGCGUCCAAUUAGCUAGUUGGUGAGGUAACGGCUCACCAAGGCUACGAUUGGUAGCCGAACUGAGAGGUUGAUCGGCCACAUUGGGACUGAGACACGGCCCAGACUCCUACGGGAGGCAGCAGUGGGGAAUCUUGGGCAAUGGGCGAAAGCCUGACCCAGCGACGCCGCGUUGGGGAUGAAGCCCUUCGGGGCGUAAACCCAUGUUGUAGGGGACGAAGAAAGUGACGGUACCUACGAGAAAGCCCCGGCCAACUACGUG
rnacentral:rRNA from 1 species